rnacentral:rRNA from 1 species
UAACACCAGCGCCACAAGUGGCGAUCAUUUUUAUUGGGUCUAAAGCGUUCGUAGCCGGUUAAAUAAAUCUUUUGUGAAAUUGUUGGGCUUAACUCAACAACGUGCAGAAGACACUAUUUAACUAGGAACCGGGAGGAGUUAGAAGUAUUUCUGGGGGAGUGGUAAAAUAUGAUAAUCCCAGAAGGACUACCUGUGGCGAAGGCGUCUAACUAGAACGGGUUCGACGGUGAGGAACGAAGGCUAGGGGAGCGAAUCGGAUUAGAUACCCGAGUAGUCCUAGCAGUAAACUCUGUGAGCUAGAUGUUGCAUUCUUUUCGAAGUUUGCAGUGUCGAAACGAAGGUGUUAAGCUCACCACCUGGGAAGUACGGUCGCAAGGCUG